GGCACAAAGGGUGUAACCAAAACUGCUGCAAUAACGACAACUGGUGCACGAACAACCGGCACUGCUGUUGUUGUCGUUGUUGUUGCCGUUGUUGUUGGCUUUGUUGUUGGCUUUGUUGUUGUUGGCUUUGUUGUUGUUAUUAUUGUUGCUGUUGUUGUUGGUUUUGUUGAUGUUGCUGCUGUUGUUGUUGGCUUUGCUGUUGUUGGCUUUGUUGUUGUUGUUGUUGUUGCUGUUGUUGUUGGCUUUGUUGUUGUUAUUAUUGUUGCUGUUGUUGUUGGUUUUGUUGAUGUUACUGCUGUUGUUGUUGGCUUUGCUGUUGUUGUUGUUGGCGUUGUUGUUGUUAUUAUUGUUCCUGUUGUUGUUGGUUUUGUUGAUGUUGCUGCUGUUGUUGUUGGCUUUGUUGUUGUUGACGUUGCUGCUGUUGUUGUUGGCGUUGUUGUUGUUAUUAUUGUUGCUGUUGUUGUUGGUUUUGUUGAUGUUGCUGCUGUUGUUGGCUUUGCUGUUGUUGUUGUUGUUGGCGUUGUUGUUGUUAUUAUUGUUCCUGUUGUUGUUGGUUUUGUUGAUGCUGCUGCUGUUGUUGUUGGCUUUGUUGUUGCUGGCGUUGCUGCUGUUGUUGUUGGCUUUGCUGUUGUUGUUGUUGUUGGCGUUGUUGUUGUUAUUAUUGUUCCUGUUGUUGUUGGUUUUGUUGAUGUUGCUGCUGUUGUUGUUGGCUUUGUUGUUGCUGACGUUGCUGCUGUUGUUGUUGGAUUUGCUGUUGUUGUUACUAUUGUUGUUGCGGUUGUUGUUGGGUUUGUUGUUUUUGUUGCAGCUGCUGUCGUUGUUGUUGCUGUUGGCUUUGUUGUUGUUGAUGCUGCUGUUGUUGUUGGAUUUGCUGUUGUUGUUGCUAUUGUUGUUGUUGCUGUUGUUGUUGGGUUUGUUAUUUUUGUUGGAGCUGCUGUAGUUGUUGUUGCUGUUGGCUUUGUUGUUGUUGAUGCUGCUGGUGUUGUUGUUGUUGGAUUUGCUGUUGUUGUUGCUAUUGUUGUUGCUGCUGUUGUUGGGUUUGUUGUUGUUGUUGUUGUUGCAGCUGCUGUCGUUGUUGUUGUUGUUGAUGCUGUUGUUGUUGGAUUUGCUGUUGUUGUUGUUGCUGUUGUUGUUGGGUUUGUUAUUUUUGUUGGAGCUGCUGUAGUUGUUGUUGCUGUUGGCUUUGUUGUUGUUGAUGCUGCUGGUGUUGUUGUUGUUGGGUUUGUUGUUGUUGUUGUUGCAGCUGCUGUUGUUGUAGGCUUUGUUGUUGUUGUUGCUGCUACUGUUGUUGUAGCCGUUGUUGUUGCUGUAGUUGCACUUGAAACUUCAGUUUUUAAAGCUGCAAUUGCUGUUGUCUCUGUAGUUGCAGUUGAAACUUCAAUUGUUGUUGUUGCUGUAGUUAUUGUUCUUGCUGUAGUUGCAGUUGUACCUUCCGUUGUUGUUGAUUCUGUAGUUGCUUCAGAAACUGUUGUUGCCUUUGUUUCUGUAGUUGCAGUUGAACCUAAAGUUGUUGUUGAUGGUCUAGUUGCUGUUGUGCCCUCAGUUGUUGUUAAGGCUGUGGUUGCAGUUGUACCUUCAGUUGUUGUUGAGGCUGUGGUUUCUGUUGUACCAUCAGUUGUUGUUAAUGCUGUAGUUGCUGUUGUUUCUGUAGUUGCAGUUGAACCUCCAGUUGUUGUUGAUGCUGAAGUUGCUGUUGUUUCUGUAGUUUCAGUUGUACCUUCAGUAGUUGUUGAUGCUGUAGUUGCAGUUGAACCUUCAGUUGUUGUUGAUGCUGUACUUGCUGUUGUUUCUGCAGUUUCAGUUGAAACUUCAGUUGUUGUUUGUGCUGUAGUGACUGUUGUACCUUCAGUUGUUGUUGAUGCUGUAGUUGCAGUUGAACCUUCAGUUGUUGUUAAUGCUGAUGUUGCCGUUGUACCUUCAGUUGUUGUUGAUGCUGUAGUUGCACUUGAUCCUUCAGUUGUUGUUAAUGCUGAUGUUGCCGUUGUACCUUCAGCUGUUGUUGUUUCUGUAGUUGCUGUUGUUUCUGUAGUUGCUGUUGUUUCUGUAGUUGCAGUUGAACCUUCACUUGUCGUUGAUGCUAUAGUUGCUGUUCUUUCUGUAGUUUCAGUUGUACCUUCAGUAGUUCUUGAUGCUGUAGUUGCUGUUGUACCUUCAGUUGUUGUCAAGGCUGUGGUUGCUGUUGUACUUUCACUUGUUGUUGAUGCUGUAGCUGCUGUAGUUGCAGUUGAACCUUCAGUUGUUGUUGAAUAUGUAGUUAUUGUUGUUUCUGCAGUUGCUGUUGAAUCUUCAGUUGUUGUUGAUUCUGUAGUGGCUGUUGUACCUUCAGUGGUUUUUGAUGGUGUGGUUGCUGUUGUGCCUUCAGUUGUUGUUAAGGCUGUGGUUGCUGUUGUACCUUCACUUGUUGUUGAUGCUGUAGCUGUUGGAGUUGCAGUUGUACCUUCCGUUGUUGUUGAUGCUGCAGUUGCUGUUGUUUCAGUAGUUGCAGUUGAACCUUCAGUUGUUGUUGAUGCUGUACUUGCUGUUGUUUCUGCAGUUUCAGUUGAAACUUCAGUUGUUGUUGAUGCUGUAGUUGCAGUUGAACCUUCAGUUGUUGGUGAUGCUGUAGUUGCUUCAGAAACUGUUGUUGCCUUUGUUUCUGUAGUUGCAGUUGAACCUUCAGUUGUUGUUAAUGCUGUGGUUGCCAUUGAACCUUCAGUUGUUGUUGUUUCUGUAGUUGCUGUGGUUUCUGUAGUUGCAGUUGUACCUUCAGGAGUUGUUGAUGGUGUAGUUGCUGUUGUACCUUUAGUUGUUGUUAAGGCUGUGGUUGCUGUUGUACCUUCACUUGUUGUUGAUGCUGUAGCUGCUGUAGUUGCAGUUGUACCUUCCGUUGUUGUUGAUUCUGUAGUUGCUGUCGUUUCUGUAGUUGCAGUUAAACCUUCAGUUGUUGUUGAAGCUGAAGUUGCUGUUGUUUCUGUAGUUUCAGUUGUACCUUCAGUAGUUGUUGAUGGUGUAGUUGCUGUUGUGCCUUCAGUUGUUGUUAAGGCUGUUGUUGCCGUGGUACCUUCAGUUGUUGUUGAUGCUGUAGCUGCAUUUGUUGCAGUUGUACCUUCAGUUGUUGUUGAGGCUGUGGUUUGUGUUGUACCUUCAGUUGUUGUUAAUGUUGUAGUUGCUGUUGUUUCUGUAGUUGCAGUUGUUUCUGUAGUUUCAGUUGAACCUUCAGUUGUUGUUAAGGCUGUGGUUGCCGUUGUACCUUCAGUUGUUGUUGAUGCUGUAGCUGAUGUUGUUGCAGUUGUACCUUCAGUUGUUGUUAAUGCUGUGGUUGCUGUUGUUUCUGUAGUUGCAGUUGAACCUUCAGCUAUUGUUGUUGCUGAAGUUGCUGUUGUUUCUGUAGUUUCAGUUGUACCUUCAGUAGUUGUUGAUGGUGUAGUUGCUGUUGUGCCUUCAGUUGUUGUUAAGGCUGUUGUUGCCGUGUUACCUUCAGUUGUUGUUGAUGCUGUAGCUGCAUUUGUUGCAGUUGUACCUUCCGUUGUUGUUGAUUCUGUAGUUGCUGUCGUUUCUGUAGUCUCUGUUAAACCUUCAGUUGUUGUUGAAGCUGAAGUUGCUGUUGUUUCUGUAGUUUCAGUUGUACCUUCAGUAGUUGUUGAUGGUGUAGUUGCUGUUGUGCCUUCAGUUGUUGUUAAGGCUGUUGUUGCCGUGGUACCUUCAGUUGUUGUUAAUGCUGUGGUUGCUGUUGUUUCUGUAGUUGCAGUUGAACCUUCAGCUAUUGUUGUUGCUGAAGUUGCUGUUGUUUCUGUAGUUUCAGUUGUACCUUCAGUAGUUGUUGAUGGUGUAGUUGCUGUUGUGCCUUCAGUUGUUGUUAAGGCUGUUGUUGCCGUGGUACCUUCAGUUGUUGUUGAUGCUGUAGCUGCAUUUGUUGCAGUUGUACCUUCAGUUGUUGUUGAGGCUGUAGUUGCUGUCGUUUCUGUAGUUGCAGUUAAACCUUCAGUUGUUGUUGAAGCUGAAGUUGCUGUUGUUUCUGUAGUUUCAGUUGUACCUUCAGUAGUUGUUGAUGGUGUACUUGCUGUUGUGCCUUCAGUUGUUGUUAAGGCUGUUGUUGCCGUGGUACCUUCAGUUGUUGUUGAUGCUGUAGCUGCAUUUGUUGCAGUUGUACCUUCAGUUGUUGUUGAGGCUGUGGUUUGUGUUGUACCUUCAGUUGUUGUUAAUGCUGUAGUUGCUGUUGUUUCUGUAGUUGCAGUUGUUUCUGUAGUUUCAGUUGAACCUUCAGUUGUUGUUAAGGCUGUGGUUGCCGUUGUACCUUCAGUUGUUGUUGAUGCUGUAGCUGAUGUUGUUGCAGUUGUACCUUCAGUUGUUGUUAAUGCUGUGGUUGCUGUUGUUUCUGUAGUUGCAGUUGAACCUUCAGCUAUUGUUGUUGCUGAAGUUGCUGUUGUUUCUGUAGUUUCAGUUGUACCUUCAGUAGUUGUUGAUGGUGUAGUUGCUGUUGUGCCUUCAGUUGUUGUUAAGGCUGUUGUUGCCGUGUUACCUUCAGUUGUUGUUGAUGCUGUAGCUGCAUUUGUUGCAGUUGUACCUUCCGUUGUUGUUGAUUCUGUAGUUGCUGUCGUUUCUGUAGUCUCUGUUAAACCUUCAGUUGUUGUUGAAGCUGAAGUUGCUGUUGUUUCUGUAGUUUCAGUUGUACCUUCAGUAGUUGUUGAUGGUGUAGUUGCUGUUGUGCCUUCAGUUGUUGUUAAGGCUGUUGUUGCCUUUGUACCUUCAGUUGUUGUUAAUGCUGUGGUUGCUGUUGUUUCUGUAGUUGCAGUUGAACCUUCAGCUAUUGUUGUUGCUGAAGUUGCUGUUGUUUCUGUAGUUUCAGUUGUACCUUCAGUAGUUGUUGAUGGUGUAGUUGCUGUUGUGCCUUCAGUUGUUGCUAAGGCUGUUGUUGCCGUGGUACCUUCAGUUGUUGUUGAUGCUGUAGCUGCAUUUGUUGCAGUUGUACCUUCAGUUGUUGUUGAGGCUGUGGUUUGUGUUGUACCUUCAGUUGUUGUUAAGGCUGUGGUUGCUGUUGUACCUUCAGUUGUUGUUGAGGCUAUAGCUGCUGUAGUUGCAGUUGUACCUUCCGUUGUUGUUGAUUCUGUAGUUGCUGUCAUUUCUGUAGUUGCUGUUAAACCUUCAGUUGUUGUUGAAGCUGAAGUUGGUGUUGUUUCUGUAGUUUCAGUUGUACCUUCAGUUGUUGUUGAUUCUGUAGUUUCUGUCGUUUCUGUAGUUGCUGUUAAACCUUCAGUUGUUGUUGAAGCUGAAGUUGCUGUUGUUUCUGUAGUUUCAGUUGUACCUUCAGUAGUUGUUAAUGGUGUAGUUGCUGUUGUGCCUUCAGUUGUUGUUAAGGCUGUUGUUGCCGUGGUACCUUCAGUUGUUGUUAAGGCUGUGGUUGUUGUGCUUUCUGUAGUUACAGUUGAACCUUCAGCUAUUGUUGAUGCUGUAGUUGCUGUUGUUUCUGCAGUUUCAGUUGUACCUUCAGUGGUUGUUGAUGCUGUAGUUGCUGUUGUUUCUGUAGUUGCAGUUGUACCUUCAGGAGUUGUUGAUGGUGUAGUUGCUGUUGUACCUUCAGUUGUUGUUAAGGCUGUGGUUGCUGUUGUACCUUCACUUGUUGUUGAUGCUGUAGCUGCAUUUGUUGCAGUUGUACCUUCAGUUGUUGUUGAGGCUGUGGUUUGUGUUGUACCUUCAGUUGUUGUUAAUGCUGUAGUUGCUGUUGUUUCUGUAGUUGCAGUUGUUUCUGUACUUUCAGUUGUACCUUCAGUCGUUGUUAAGGCUGUGGUUGCCGUUGUACCUUCAGUUGUUGUUGAUGCUUUUGCUGCUGUUGUUGCAGUUGUACCUUCAGUUGUUGUUAAUGCUGUGGUUGCUGUUGUUUCUGUAGUUGCAGUUGAACCUUCAGCUAUUGUUGUUGCUGAAGUUGCUGUUGUUUCUGUAGUUUCAGUUGUACCUUCAGUAGUUGUUGAUGGUGUAGUUGCUGUCGUUUCUGUAGUUGCAGUUGAACCUUCAGUUGUUGUUAUUGCUGUACUUGCUGUAGUUGCUGUUGUUUCUGUAGUUGCAGUUGUACCUUCAGUCGUUGUUAAGGCUGUGGUUGCCGUUGUACCUUCAGUUGUUGUUGAUGCUGUAGCUGCAUUUGUUGCAGUUGUACCUUCAGUUGUUGUUAAUGCUGUGGUUGCUGUUGUUUCUGUAGUUGCAGUUGAACCUUCAGCUAUUGUUGUUACUGUAGUUGCUGUUGUUUCUGCAGUUUCAGUUGUACCUUCAGUUGUUGUUGAUGCUGUAGUUGCUGUCAUUUCUAUAGUUGCUGUUGUUUCUGUUGUUGCUGUUGUUUCUGUAGUUUCAGUUGAACCUUCACUAGUUGUUGAUGGUGUAAUUGUUGUUGUACCUUCACUCGUUGUUAAGGCUGUGGUUGCCGUUGUACCUUCAGUUGUUGUUGAUGCUGUAGCUGCUGUUGUUGCAGUUGUACCUUCAAUUGUUGUUAAGGCUGUGGUUGCUGUUGUUUCUGUGGUUUCAGUUGUACCUUCAGUUGUUGUUGAUGCUGUAGUUGCUGUCGUUUCUGUAGUUGCAGUUGAGCCUUCAGUUAUUGUUAAUGCUGUAGUUGCUGUAGUUGCUGUUGUUGCUGUUGUUGCUGUUGUUUCUGUAGUUGCAGGUGAACCUUCAGUUGUUGUUGAUGCUUUAGUUGCUGUUGUUUCUGCAAUUUCAGUUGUACCUUCAGUUGUUGUUGAUGCUGUACUUGCUGUUGUUUCCGUAGUUGCAGUUGAACCUUCAGUUGUUGUUUGUGCUGUAGUGACUGUUGUACCUUCAGUUGUUGUUGAUACUGUAGUUUCUUCAGAAACUGUAGUUGCAGUUGAACCUUCAGCUGUUGUUGAUGCUAUAGUUGCUGUUGUUUCUGUAGUUGCAGUUGAAGUUUCUGUUGUUGAUGAUGCUGUAGCUGUAGUUGUACCUUCAGUUGUUGUUGAUGCUGUCGUUUCUGUAGUUUCAGGUGAACCUUCAGUUGUUGUUAAUGCUGUAGCUGCAUUUGUUGCAGUUGAGCCUUCAACUGUUGUUGAUGCUGUAAUUGCUUCAGAUGCUGUAGUUGCAGUUGAACCUUCAGUUGCUGUUGUUUCUGUAGUUGCACUUGAAACUUCAGUUGUUGUUGAUGGUGUAGUUGCUGUUGUUUCUUCAGAUAGUGUUGUUGUAGUUGUACCUUCAGUUUUUGUCGAUGCUGUAGCUGUAGUUGAAUAUUCAGUUGUUGUUGUUGAUGCUGUAGUUUCUUCAUGUACUGUAGUUGGAGUUGUACCUUCAGUUGUUGUUGAUGUUGCCGUUUCUGUAGUUGCAGGUGAACCUUCAGUUGUUGUUAAUGCUGUAGAUGCUGUAGUUGCAGUUGUAGAUGCCGCACUGGUGGGUGGAGCUGGAAUUGCACAACUGUCUGCAGCAGUUGGUGUAGUGGCAAGCUCAAUUGUCACUAUAGAGCAGAUAGAUUAUUACGUUUAACACAUACACACAUACCAAAACCACAUGCAUAGAUAGAUAGAUAGAUAGAUAGACAGAUAGAUAGAUAGAUAGAUUUGACUUUUUUUGAGUAAAACAAGGAAGGAUGUGACUAAACUAAAUUUAAGAAACCCUCUCAUAUUGAGUAACAUUUUUAAAACCGUUUCAUGAAAAAAUUGUCAAAAAAAUAAUAAUAAAGGCAUUUGAAAUUAUAUAUUUAAUUCUUCAAUAAUUAAUCAUGCUACUAUACUCCAAACUGAUCAAGAAAAAGAAAAACACUUAAAAGAAGCUGUUAAUCGACAUGAUAUGAAAGCAUGUUACUAAAAAAUAUGUUCAGAUGUUACUAAAAUAUGAUGAAUUAAAAUCUUAAAAGCUAAUAAAUUGUAACCAAAAAGUGUGGCACAUUGUGUAUGUAUGUAUUUUUAUUUUAUUUUAUUUUUUUAAGAGCUGCAUUCUAAUUUUUGUAAAAUAAUCAGUUACUUACCCAGUAUGGUUAACAAAACGGUCAAUGUUUGACAAGCCCCCAUUACGGCCUCAUGUACCUGAAUAUGAAUAUGAAUGUUUGUUAUAAAUUGAUGUGGCAGUACUUAUGCAUUGACAUAGCUUUUAUUUAUACUCUCUCCCUCUUCAGACAAAGUUGAAGUUGUUGCCAAUCAUGCUCUUCACAUGGAUCUAAAACACCGCUGCCCAUAAGUGUUUGGUUUUUUUUGUUUUAUUUGGUUUUGUUUAUUGAAGCUUGUCUUUUUUUUAGGCCUGUAACCUCUACUUUUGUCCUCAAUUUUAUUUUCAAAUGUUUAAAGAACACACUUCAUGCGAUGCUCUUUGGGAAUUACUUUUUUUGUUCAAAAGUACAAUUAAACCUGUCAAAUUAUAUUUGCCACCAUUACACCAUUAGUAGAUUCAUUUUAAAAAAUGGAAACAAAGUAUGUUGUGUGAAGGGUGUUAGUAAUGGUACAUAUUAAGAAAUUAUUAUUUUUGUAAUUGAUAACACAUUAUUACAUUGUUAUUAAUUACUUGAUUAAAUUAAUUAACAUUUGUAAAUGGACUGAUUGAUAUAUAUAUAUAUAGUACCUUUUUACUAAAGUUUAGUUCCAAAACUACUUGGUGCUGCAAGCCUUAUUCAUGCCAUCACACAUCUAUACCUACCCAAGCACUGUUUCACAAAGAAUCAUGUAUAUAUGUACACUUUUGGCAAGCUUGAAUUCAACAUCUUGCCCAGGGAUACUUUGAAAUACUUGUUGACUUUUCAAAAAAAAAGUACAUUGAUACUAAUGUGAGAACAGACUGGGUUUGUGUAAAGAAUUUGUGUUCUGGGACACAAAAACAAGAAUCGAAAGUUUAUAUUGCAGAGACAAGAAAAAAAUAGUGUCCAAAAAAACAAAUCUGUAUUCUAAAAGUUGUAACAGAACAGACAUAGAACAACUUCAGUUUAUUAAUUUAUUGUGCUUUUUCCUAUUUUCUAACAGUAUAGCCAUUUUUACUGGAUACACUACUAUAUCAUACACAGUAGAAAUAAUAAUCAUACUUCUUUCUCUUUUUUUUUACCUUGAUACAUUAUUUUUUUCAUCACUUUUAGGCAACAGAGUUGAAAAGAUUUAGGUUAAAUGAACUGUCUGCAUAGAAAAAACGUUUUCUAUGGCGUGAAAAAAUAUCACAAUAGAACAUUAUUUUUCAUCAUAGCUUCAGGUUAAGUGUAACAAAUGACAAUAACCAUUACACAAUAAAUUGUAACACAAAACGCCUAGCACACACUAAAUUUACAUAUAGACCAAAGACAUACAGAUUUGCUCACCCUAGUGCCGUAAUUGACAGAAUCCUUAUUCAGCCUCCCCUGUACCUGUCUGAUCUCUUGUGAUGCCACCAGUCUGUUCGGGCAUUAUAUAUUUGCUUCACAAAUAUGUGAUGCCCACACACAAUUCUAUUGAAAUGUUUUGAGCCACCAGUUGAAGAUACAAAGAUAAAAAGAUUAAAUAAAAAAAACAUUCCUGAAAAACUUUAAGUCAGUUUCAUGGUCCAGUAAUCAGCAUUGUUAGUCAGCAUUCCACUGAUGUGAACUAAUCAGAUGUGAAAAUAUUAUCUAACAAACUGAAUACUUUGAAUUCAAAUACUUAUGAUGAAUAAUCUGAAAAUGCAUAAAAUGCAUAACAAGCAUUUUGAGAUUAACUAUAUAUAUCUCCACAAAUCUUCAAUAGAAUAUUUUUAAUUUCCUCUUCCUUCUUUCCCACUGUGACUGACAAAAAAUACAGACAACCAGAUGAUGUCUGUCUUGUAAGUUACCUUUGGCUUUCACUUUGGAAGAGGAAGAAAAGACAAGUAUUUAACAAUGUAUUCAUUGCAAUGUUUUCUUUUCAUACAAUCCACUGACUUUCAAUGUGAGAUCUAUUUGCUAAAAAUGAAACCAAAAGUGCACAAUGAC
rnacentral:lncRNA from 1 species